GGGUGGAGCACGAGUUCGAGGCCCCCGAGGACACCUACAUCCUCGAGGCCGCCGAGAACGCCGGCGUGGAGCUGCCCUUCUCCUGCCGCGCCGGGUCCUGCUCCACCUGCGCGGGCAAGAUGUCGGCCGGCGAGGUCGACCAGUCGGAGGGGUCGUUCCUCGACGACAACCAGAUGGCCGAGGGGUACCUCCUCACCUGCAUCUCCUACCCCAAGGCGGACUGCGUCAUCCACACCCACAAGGAAGAGGAGCUGUACUAGAGUGCUCGUGCGUUCGGUGCUUCAAUGGCGGCGCA
rnacentral:lncRNA from 1 species